GACGAACCGUGCAACCGUUAUUCGGAAUCACUGGGCAUAAAGGGCGCGUAGGCGGCCCGGUAAGUAGGGGGUGAAAUCCUGCGGCUUAACCGCAGGGCUGCCUUCUAAACUGUCGGGCUCGAGCACGGUAGAGGCAGAUGGAAUUCCCGGUGUAGCGGUGGAAUGCGUAGAGAUCGGGAAGAACAUCAGUGGCGAAGGCGGUCUGCUGGGCCGUUGCUGACGCUGAGGCGCGACAGCGUGGGGAGCAAACAGG
rnacentral:rRNA from 1 species